GUCUACGGCCAUGCCACCCUGAACUGCGUGAUCCCGGAAGCUAAGCAGGUUUGGGCCUGGUUAGUACUUGGAUGGGAGACCCCUUAGGAAUACCAGGUGCUAUAGGCG
rnacentral:rRNA from 1 species